CCUACGGGUGGCAGCAGUGGGGGAUAUUGCACAAUGGGGGAAACCCUGAUGCAGCGACGCCGCGUGGGCGAAGAAGUACCUCGGUAUGUAAAGCCCUAUCAGCCGGGAAGAAGAAAUGACGGUCUCUGAGUAAGAAGCACUGGCUAAAUACGUGCCAGCAGCCGCGGUAAUACGUAUGGUCCAAGCGUUAUCCGGAUUUACUGGGUGUAACGGGAGCGCAGGCGGCACGGAAAGCGUGAUGGGAAAGCCCGGGGCCCAACCGCGGGACUGCAUUGGGAACUGCCGGGCUGGAGUGACGGAGAGGUAGGCGGAAUUCGUGGUGUAGCGGUGAAAUGCGUAGAUAUUAGGAGGAACACCAGUGGCGAAGGCGGCCUACUGGACGGUGACUGACGCUGAGGCUCGAAAGCGUGGGGAGCAAACAGGAUUAGAUACCCCUGUAGUC
rnacentral:rRNA from 1 species